GCUGGCAGCUAGCUCUCUGCAACUCUCACAUGGUCGCCUACUGAAGCUAAGCAGGGCUGCGCCUGGUCAGUACCUGGAUGGGAGACCACAUGGGAAAGCUAGGUUGCUGCCGGAA
rnacentral:rRNA from 1 species